CGGUCUGCCCUGAACGGGCUUCAGGAGGGAGCGACCCUGCCCAGGGGUGACCGUGAUCUGACCUGGGGCUAAAGACACACGGACAACUUAGAACGCGUUCCGGGCCUCCCUGGGUUUGUGCAUUUUCCAGCAUUUUCCAGAGAAGAGCAGAUCAGAGGAAGCAAACUGUAUCAAGCUCAUGGCCACCUUCCUCUCCAGUGCAUCCAAAGCCCUUUGUGAAUCCUGUUCUCUCAGCUGCCCCAGCUCCAUCCCAUGUGUACGCCAUUGCACUGUUCUUUCCUGAUCUCAAAGAUUGCAUUAUGUUAACCCCCAGUAUUCAUUUGUAAUGACAGAACAACCAAGUUUACUUAAGAUGCAUUUUCCAUCUUCAAAAUAAAGAACAGUUUCUAUU
rnacentral:lncRNA from 1 species